rnacentral:pre_miRNA from 1 species
GUCAUGUAGACCAAUACCCAUGUGUCAAUCUAGUCGACACAUGGGUAUUGGUCUACAUGACUAGAUUGACACAUGGGUAUUGGUCUACAUG